AGCAGAGGUUCUGGGAGGCCAGUCGCUGCAGAGCAGCAACCACGUAAAGCGCUGCGACUGGAGAACGCGUGCUUGAGUCGUUUUACCUCCGCAAAGCAAAACGAAUAUAGAAAAGCAAGGCCUGAGGUCAUGCUAUGCAAACCAACCCCUGGGAUCCAUCUGGUCCAACAACCUCAGCUCAUUGAGAAAAGGUAUAGCUGGCCUGCAAAGAAAAUAAAGACUUCAAAGGGUUGGCAAUAAGGAGAAGUCAAGAAACGGGCAGUAAAAAGGAGAAAGAAAAGGAGGGAAAUGACAUAUGUUGAGAACCUGCUAGUCCACUCUGCACACAUCUUCUCAGUUAAUCCUCCCAACCACUCGGUGAGUAGCUGUUAGUAUUUCCAUCUUACAGAGGAGUUACCUGAGAGAGAGGGUAAGAGAUUUGCCAGGACCACAGAUGUGAAAUAGAAGAAACCAGAUGUAAAUUGUGGUUUCUCCCACUUCACACUGUUUUCACCAUAACGCUCACAGGCAAGGAAAAGGAAACAGGUGAAGGACAUGGCAUUGACAGGGAGAGGAGAGAAGAGGAAACAGGAUGAUUUUAUGACGUUUGUAAUUGGCAUUUGUUGAUGUUGACAUCUGCAUUUGUAGCUGAUCACGAUGUAACAUAAUACAAAAUUGUAUAAAUGUAAAGAGCUGAUUCUUAACCAGAUUUAUUUAAAAACAUGGUCACUAACCGCUAAUUAAUAUGAAAACUGUCUGUGGCUCACAUAUUCCUGCUCUUUACAUUAUCAGAAGUAUUUUUGUGAUAAUUCAUUCCAAUAUCUGAUAAGUUUUGUCACUGGCCAUAUCUAUCUAUCUAUCUAUCUAUCUAUCUAUCUAUCUAUCUAUCAUCUAUCUAUCUAUCUAUCAUCUAUCAUCUAAUCAC
rnacentral:lncRNA from 1 species